rnacentral:rRNA from 1 species
UACGGGAGGCAGCAGUGGGGGAUAUUGCGCAAUGGGGGCAACCCUGACGCAGCAACGCCGCGUGAAGGAUGAAGGUUUUCGGAUUGUAAACUUCUUUUGUUAGGGACGAAAAUUGACGGUACCUAACGAAUAAGCUCCGGCUAACUACGUGCCAGCAGCCGCGGUAAU